rnacentral:tRNA from 1 species
GGUGGCUCAGUGGCAGAGCACUUGCCUUGCAUGCAUGAGGCCCUGGGUUCGAUUCUUCAGUACCA